GACGAACGCUGGCGGCGUGCCUAACACAUGCAAGUCGAACGGGGUAGAGAGCUUCGGCUUUCUACUUAGUGGCGAACGGGUGAGUAACGCGUGAGAAACCUGCCUUUCAGUGGGGGACAACAGUUGGAAACGACUGCUAAUACCGCAUAAUGUAUCGAUAGGGCAUCCUAAUGAUACCAAAGCUUUAUGUGCUGAAAGAUGGUCUCGCGUCUGAUUAGCUAGAUGGCGGGUAACGGCCACCAUGGCGACGAUCAGUAGCCGGUCUGAGAGGAUGAACGGCCACAUUGGGACUGAGAUACGGCCCAGACUCCUACGGGAGGCAGCAGUGGGGAAUAUUGGGCAAUGGGGGAAACCCUGACCCAGCAACGCCGCGUGAAGGAAGAAGGCC
rnacentral:rRNA from 1 species